CCCUACACUGAAAUCCCGAGAUUAUAGAUUAUUGAUAUACCCCUACAUAAUAACACGACAUAUUGAUUCACGAUCGAAUUCAGCCAUUUUUUCAUUUAUGUUUUUGGUUUCUCUCUCUGUGCAGUGGCUCCACACGAAAAGAAACUAGAUCAAUUUAGAGGAGAAAAUAAAAAAAAAAAUUCAAAAAGCUAAAAAAUUAGGGUGUAGAAAUCAAUUUUAGUGUAUUGAUCCUUUGUUGAAUUAACUCUCUUCUUCAACAACAAAAGUUUGAAGAUUCAAAAUCGAAGGAGGUGGAUAUGGUGGUAGGAGACAAGAAAACGGUGGAUAUGGUGGUGCUUGUGGUAGAGAAGACGGUGGAUAUGGUGGAAUUGAAAAAUCCACUUGAGGUGAUUCGUAUGUAUUCAUUAGUGUAUUGAUCCGUUUCUAAUUCAUUUGAUGUUAAUUGUUAUGAGGUUUCCUCCUAUGUCUAAUUAGCUGUUGCUAGAAUUUUUGAGCUACACAAUAAUAUAACCUUAACUUCCUUGAAAUCCUGGAAACAGAAUCGUAGGAAAACAUGUUCAACGUUAUAUAGUGUUUUGUCGCAUUGCAGGUAUAACAUUGUCAGAUUUUAGUUUAUGUGGGAUUGCCAUUGUAUGAGGCAGUUGGAUUGUACAUAGGAACGAACGUAACUGCAUCUUUAGGAACAUGUAGGGACAGAAAAUGGAUUGUAUAUUUUUGUUGGUUUAUUUGCGUCUGUUGUUGUGGUGGGGGUAAUAAUCCAUAUAUCAUAAUACAUCUUCAUUGUUGGGCAAUAUUUGUUUUUGUUGCUGCAGUGGUACUUUGAGAGAAGUCAUUGAGUUUUUGUUGCUGUACUUCUUGUUGAGUAGGUGAAAGUGAAACUGAAUUUUCAUACAGAGGAGGUAUACCACAAGUAUCAUUUGAUGUGGAUGAGAAAAUGGGUAUAAUCACGUUAGCAAUUUCUGUUGGUGUUGUAGUACUAGUAGUAGUUGUAGGUGCAGGAGUCAUGAUGGAGCAGUCUUGACGAGUAUUUAAUGGCAAUGGUGAUGAUGUUGCUGCCAAGAAAAACAGUAGUUUAUGGUUUGUUAAAUUGAACUCAUAGUAUUUUGGUUUAGUAAUUUCAUUUCCUUGAAUAGUGUGAAAUUGAACUGAUCUUGUGGUGCACUCCACGUCAGAAAAUGCAUGUUCGAUUCACGUCAGGUUCACUAAUUUUAGUACAUCAAUUUUUUGGGAUCAA